rnacentral:rRNA from 1 species
UACGGAGGGGACUAGCGUUGUUCGGAAUUACUGGGCGUAAAGCGCACGUAGGCGGAUUUGUAAGUCAGGGGUGAAAUCCCGGGGCUCAACCUCGGAACUGCCUUUGAUACUGCAAAUCUUGAGUCCGGAAGAGGUGAGUGGAAUUCCGUAGUGUAGAGGUGAAAUUCGUAGAUAUUAGGAAGAACACCAGUGGCGAAGGCGGCUCACUGGUCCGGUACUGACGCUGAGGUGCGAAAGCGUGGGGAGCAAACAGG